rnacentral:lncRNA from 1 species
GGUGUGCGAGCUUGGCAGGGCGAAGACCCCCUCGCACCCGGCGUGUAUGCGCAGCGCUGAAUAAACACACCUGCUUUAUAACCUAACCUGGGGUUAUAGAGUUUGAUUCCGCAAGUCACCUGUGAGAUUCGGGAGGAGGGGCUGGGAGUGGGACGUGGCUGGGGGUCUGCAUGCCUGAUGGAGCCAUUCUCCCCCCGCCUACCCCUCCUCUUUUGUUCUCCUCUGGCAGACCGUGGCCACCCCCCUUCCCGCAUGCUGGUGCUGGGAGAGGCCUCGGAGAGCAACUCAGAGCCGGAACCGGAAGGGAACAUGGCCAGGACCUCCUGAGUGGAGCUGAAGGUUCCAGGGGAGGCAUCGGUGACUGAGGAGGAGGGGGAAGAUGGGGCCCGAGCGCCACUGCCAACGGUGCCCCAGGGGGGCCCUCACUGCUGCAGCAGCAGCUGGGGGCAGGCAAGGGGCAGCUGCAGGGUGCAGUGGCUGAGGCACUGGGGGGGCAGUUUCAGUCUCUUUUGUUCUCCUCUCGCAGACUGUGGCAACCCCCUUUUCUCCUGCGGUGGGAAGGCGUUGGAGGGCGACUCAGAGCUGGAGCCAGGGGGCAAUAUGGCCAGAACCUUCUGAGUGGAGCUGCAGGUUCCAAGGGAGGCAUCGGAAGCCAAGGAGGAGGAGGAAGGAGGGGCCCCAGUGCCACUGCCAAGGGUGUCCUGAUGGUUACUCUGGGCUCACUAAUGAACCUCACAAGAUGGCCUGAGAGUCCCGAGUCUUCAGGUCUUUCCGCAUCAGGAUCUUUGCAAUGACGGUGAAGGCUUCUCCUGAAUCCUGUGGAGCUGCAGGAGUGGGUAGAUGACACCACAGCCCAUGGAAGGAGACCUGGGCUCCACCACCUCUUAAUACUGGCACAAAUAUUCCAAGCAUGGUAUGGGAAGUUGCUUAGGGGGACAGAGUGUGAA